UACAGAGGGUGCGAGCGUUGUCCGGAAUCACUGGGCGUAAAGGGCGCGUAGGUGGCUGGGUAAGUGUGCGGUGAAAGUCCGGGGCUCAACCCUCGGAUGCCGGUGGAUACUGUCGGGCUUGAGUACGGAAGAGGCGAGUGGAUUCCGUGGUGUAGCGGUGAAAUGCGCAGAUAUCAGGAGGAACACCAAUUGCGAAGGCAGCUCGCUGGGACGUUACUGACGCUGAUAUACGAAAGCGUGGGAGCAAACAGG
rnacentral:rRNA from 1 species